rnacentral:miRNA from 1 species
UAUACUGGACUUGGAGUCAGAAGUCUUGGGUUCGAGGACUGAGCAUCUUCUUAUUGGCUGGUUAUGUGAAAGCCAACAUGUAGUUAGCUAA